CCUACGGGUGGCAGCAGUGGGGAAUAUUGCGCAAUGGGCGAAAGCCUGACGCAGCGACGCCGCGUGAGGGAUGAAGGUCUUCGGAUCGUAAACCUCUUUUGUCAGGGAACAAAGGCGGGGACUAGUCCCCGGAUGAGGGUACCUGAAGAAAAAGCAUCGGCUAACUCCGUGCCAGCAGCCGCGGUAAUACGGAGGAUGCGAGCGUUAUCCGGAUUUAUUGGGUUUAAAGGGUGCGCAGGCGGCCUGUUAAGUCAGCGGUAAAAGCCCGGGGCUCAACCCCGGCGAGCCGUUGAAACUGGCGGGCUGGAGUUGGAGAGAAGUACGCGGAAUGCGCGGUGUAGCGGUGAAAUGCUUAGAUAUCGCGCAGAACCCCGAUUGCGAAGGCAGCGUACCGGCUCCACACUGACGCUGAGGCACGAAAGCGUGGGUAUCGAACAGGAUUAGAUACCCUUGUAGUC
rnacentral:rRNA from 1 species